rnacentral:rRNA from 1 species
CAGCGCCGCGGGAAUACAGAGGGUGCGAGCGUUAAUCGGAUUUACUGGGCGUAAAGCGUGCGUAGGCGGCUUCUUAAGUCGGAUGUGAAAUCCCUGAGCUUAACUUAGGAAUUGCAUUCGAUACUGGGAAGCUAGAGUAUGGGAGAGGAUGGUAGAAUUCCAGGUGUAGCGGUGAAAUGCGUAGAGAUCUGGAGGAAUACCGAUGGCGAAGGCAGCCAUCUGGCCUAAUACUGACGCUGAGGUACGAAAGCAUGGGGAGCAAACAGGAUUAGAUACCCGAGUAGUCCCUGUCUCUUAUACA